rnacentral:rRNA from 1 species
UUCCGGUUGAUCCCGCCGGACCCGACUGCUAUCAGAGUGGGACUAAGCCAUGCGAGUCAACAUAGCAAUAUGUGGCAUACGGCUCAGUAACACGUAGUCAACAUGCCCAGGGGACGUGGAUAACCUCGGGAAACUGAGGAUAAACCGCGAUAGGUCAUCACUUCUGGAAUGGGUAAUGACUUAAAUCUAUAUGGCCCCUGGAUUGGACUGCGGCCGAUCAGGCUGUUGGUGAGGUAAUGGCCCACCAAACCUGUAACCGGUACGGGCUCUGAGAGGAGGAGCCCGGAGAUGGGCACUGAGACAAGGGCCCAGGCCCUAUGGGGCGCAGCAGGCGCGAAACCUCUGCAAUAGGCGAAAGCUUGACAGGGUUACUCUGAGUGAUUUCCGUUAAGGAGAUCUUUUGGCACCUCUAAAAAUGGUGCAGAAUAAGGGGUGGGCAAGUCUGGUGUCAGCCGCCGCGGUAAUACCAGCACCCCGAGUGGUCGGGACGUUUAUUGGGCCUAAAGCAUCCGUAGCCGGUUCUACAAGUCUUCCGUUAAAUCCACCUGCUUAACAGAUGGGCUGCGGAAGAUACUAUAGAGCUAGGAGGCGGGAGAGGCAAGCGGUACUCGAUGGGUAGGGGUAAAAUCCGUUGAUCCAUUGAAGACCACCAGUGGCGAAGGCGGCUUGCCAGAACGCGCUCGACGGUGAGGGAUGAAAGCUGGGGGAGCAAACCGGAUUAGAUACCCGGGUAGUCCCAGCUGUAAACGAUGCAGACUCGGUGAUGAGUUGGCUUAUUGCUAACUCAGUGCCGCAGGGAAGCCGUUAAGUUUGCCGCCUGGGGAGUACGGUCGCAAGACUGAAACUUAAAGGAAUUGGCGGGGGAGCA